AAUUGGUAUACAGCAGCGUUUUGUCCUGUUUCAUCCUGGCAGUGGCUACUUCUGGGUGAACAGUGAGGUGGUCCGUCUCAGUGGGAUCCCAUGCAGCUUUCUUGCUUUAAAAAGAGAGACAACAUCAGAACAUCAAAAACAGCCCAGGGAAAUUAAAGCUGUGGUUCUGUUCCUCCUGGGUUGUACUCGUCAUCUGCUGGAACGAGCCAAGCAGGGCUCCUCGUGUACCAUGCUUUUGGAAAGCUGCAUGGAAAAGCAGCACCCCCAAGGAUGUGUCCUGGGUAAUCAUCCCUGCUCAAGUCCUGCCUCAACUCUGGCACAGCCAGUGGCCCAACAGCUAGUGCUCUCGUUGUAGUUAAGGCUGAAGCUGUGCUUUGACCGUUCCUGUGGCUGCCAGUGGUGGUACUGAUGAUGAAAGCAUCUGUUGGUGAAACGUUGGCAACAGCCCUGUCAUCUCAAAGGGGUGGAAGUUGUUCUUCAAGGAGCAUAACAACAUCACUUAGCUGCAUGCAGGCUAUCAUUUUUGAAGGAAAUCUGACAAAUCUGAUGGGACGCGGUGCUGACUGACUUGUGGCGUUUCAUCAGACAGGGUAGAUAAUGCUCACCUCAGCUUCUGUGUGUGCCAAAUCUGAAGUCCAGGAGCAUCGUUUUAUUGGAUUUGGACACUGGCAACCUGACAUCAGAGCCUUGGGGCCCCGACUCUGAGAGAUCUUCCUGAAGUAUCAAAAAAGAUUUACUGGAGAGGCCAGAACAAACCCUUGGUCCAAACAUUUCCAGUUGGGGGAAGUGGAAGAAACCAGAAGCCAGUCACGCAGUGGAGCCAUGGGGCAAUUCCAGUGGCUGAGGUUUUAAAGGAGUCCAAAAAUGGCACUGGGGAAACAACAAGGCAUCAGCAGAAGAACUGGAAGGAUGAUGGGCAUAUAACAAGAAAAGCAAGUACUUUACCCUUGAAUGUGAGCUGGGAGUAGAUGGACAAUGAUCUUCCUCAAGCAAUGAAAAAGCAGCAAUUCUCAUCGACGGAGAAGUUGAUAAACGUUGGGAGGCUGUUCCAUGACUGCCAUCUCCAGUCCGCUUGCCCAGCGCUGGUUGUAAUUCAGCUCAGGACAUUACAACGUCUUAUGUGUCCUGACCUGUCAUUUGAAUGUGUUGGACAGAAUUAAAUGCAGUCCAUUUCAGAUGUGGUGAAGCUGAUCUUUACUUUAUGCACUUGGCUGGGAUCAGCCCAGGAUUGUAGAUUUUUGGAACGAGCCUGUGCAGCUACAGUAUGCUAAUUGUGUGGUACUUAAAUUUGCUCUAUGGAAUAUGCAAAAGGUGCGAUGUAAAUAAGAGAUGACCAAAUACAA